UGACCCUUGUAAGCCGAGGGUCAUCUAGCCAACUGACGUUGUUAGUGAACUCCGAUUGUUCGCAUCAUACAUAAGCCAAUUGCCCUUCUUGCAAUUGGCUCUUUUUUU
rnacentral:sRNA from 1 species